GAAAUUGGUUAUCGGAUUUAUAAAUAAAAACCGAAAUUUGAAGAACUGUUGUUUAGCUGCUAUCAUCAGCUAGCACUAUUGAAUGAUUGAAGUCAGUUCAAAACUCAUAUGUGAUGUUACAGAGGUAAACUAUUAAUUUGAUAGUUUUGACUCACGAGCUGAAAAUAUAAAUUUGUAAUUCAUUCCGUAUUUGUAAAAAAAAAAAAUAAUAAUAAAUUGUUUUUGAGAUGAAUUGCUUUUAUCUACAGAAGAAACAUUAGUUUCCGAUAUGUUGAGUUUCUAAUGAGCCGAGGGAAAUGUCACAAUUUUCUCACAAUGUGUGUUCGGUAUGGGGGAAGAUUUGGAGUGUAUCUUCUUUUGCUCCUGCUUUGGACAGGACCUUAACCUAAAUAAAUCCGGUACGGUAACAUUUGUGAUUAAGCCGUGGCUAACCCCUCGCCCAGAGCCAGAGGAUUCUGUGGUGUAUAGUUAGAAGAAUACAAAUACCGUUGUCCUUGUUUCUUGUUAAGGGAAAAUAAAUCAAGCAAUGCUGAUGAUAGUAGGAGGAAAAUGUUUUUUUAUAAAAAUUCAAUGCUGGAGGUGAAUUAGUAGCCUACCAAUAUAUUGAUGUGCAUAGGAUAACCCUUUUUUUUGUUUGUUAUACAUCCUACAGUUUUGUAUAGGAGUGUGAGCCAGUCUCUUGCUGUCUCCGUUGAUCGAGGCACAUGGAGUCUCCUUGCGGUGGACCAGCUGUUGAAGCAGUAGUUCAACAUUGUCCCUGCGGGUGGAAUUGGUGGAGACGCAGAGCAGCCCUGUGGCUGCGAGCCGCUGUUGCGAGAACUACACAAGAUCAGGAAGAGGCACCAGCAGUAAGGGAGAUGGAACCGGAGCGCUCCAGUGUAGAGGUCAGGCCUUCCGCGGAGGAUAGACAGGGCAUGCCCAGCCUGCAACUUGUUGCUGAACUAAACCGCCCCCGAUUGCAGUCACAUUGGGUGGCGUAAGUUGACUAGUGCAGUGCGCGCAAUAAGUAAGUGGCAGGACACUUUUAAAUGGAGCUCCAGACAUUAAUAUAUUCUCUUUUUCCAUUAUUAUAUAAUUAGUAUUCUUUGUGUGUAACUAUUUCAUAAGUAUUUUAUUAAUGUACUGUUAAAAAGGACUAUCGGUUUUACAAGUAGGCGCCAUAGGACAAUGCACACUCGUACGUGAUGUUUGGUAGCAGUCCGAUGCCUAUAUACUGUAACUAUAAAUUUAGUAAUUUUCCAUUUUUAGUCACACCAUUAGGCACUGGUGUGUCGUGUCUCCUUUGCUGGUUAGUGGAUUGGGUUGGCUGUGCUUGUUAAAGUUUGAUCCAAAAAUUUUGCUUUACAGCUAUUUAUAGGGGAAAUUUAAAUUCUAAAUGAAGAAAAUGUACUCCUCAGUGAGUGUGUAUGGCCCAAGAGUCAAGGCAACACGGAAAAGUAAGCAGCUGCAGUCCUACUAACUUCCUAAUUACCCUUAUCCUUCCCUACCAUCUAAUAAUGCUGGACCGUACCCUUGGCCUUGGACUAUGAUAUUUUCUUAUCUGAUAAAAAUUAUAAUCAAAUUUAUUUCAAUUCAAAUAACAAAGGUAACUCUAUUUUGGACAUUGUCAAGCCAAUGUGCCUUGUUUGGAGGUAGGCCGGCACCUUCAACCUCGGUAGCCAGACCCAUGACCCAGUAAAUUGUCAUUUAACGGAUUUUGCUAUUUAUUAUUAUUUAUUUAUUUAUUAGAUUAUUUAUUUCAUUAUUUGUUUAGGUAAGUGUUAUUUAUUUAGAUAGGUAUAUUUGGUUGGCUUUUUGUUUUAGCCAUGGGAAACUUAGUUGAAAAGUAAAAGUUGAGUUUUAGGAGUUAUCAGUUUCUAUGUUUAAUUAGUUCAUGAUUGUUACUGAAUUUGCUUGCAUGCACUCAUAAGUAUCUUUCUUUUUUUUAUCUAAUAUGUUCAUUUGUUAUAAUAGUUUUUUUUUCAUUGUUGUUGACACUUAGUAGUGCCAUGUUCUGCUCUACAGUGCUUGCUUCGUUUCGGCAUUUGGUACAUUAUAUUCAGUAUUAACGAAACUAAAUUAAGUUGAAAAUUGUAAACGCCCCUUAUAUUCGGCUGAGAAAUAUUUGCUGCAAACCGUAUUCGCUUUACAUUCAAAUUUAUCAACCAACUUGUAAUACAUCCCGUGGUAUUACCGGGGGAGAAUUUAUAGAUUAGGCUGUGACUGCCUAAAUUCACUGUUACCUUUAUAUUUCUAAGGACUACUAACCAGCAUGGCAGGAGCGCUUGCUCUGAAUCAUUACCGAAGAUAAGUGGGUCUGUGUAUUCUCUCAUCCGAGGGAAGCAAGCAUUGUCCGAGAUGAACAUAACUAUUAUUGUUUGUUUAAGCUGUUGAUUUAUAACUGUAUUAAUGCAGUAGCGAUAAUCGUUUGAAUUUUACUUGAUGAGGAUAGCUUUGAAUCUGUUUGUUUGAUUUUUAUUCUUGAAAUUUAAAAUUAAUGUAUCGUUACUAAAAUGGUUUAUUACUGUUAGUGUUAGGUCCAGUUAUGAAGGAUUUUAUCUAUUGUAGUUUGUUGUCUUUUAUUGUUUUUCAUUCUUUUGCUUCGACUUGCUGUUUAAAUUGAAUAACUUUAUAUAUAAUGUAAGGAUUGUAGGUUGAAUGUUAGUGUUUUUGGAAUCCAGAGUUAUGGAUGUAAUUAGUUAAAUUUAUGGCAUUAACAGGGAAAGGCGAUGACGUUAGAGGGUUCAAUUAUAUGAUUUUCUUUUAAUGGGUUUUUUUUGUUUGGAAAAUUUAAAUUCAUCAAGUUACAUUUUACGAGGCGUUUAAAUUGGCCUUGGUGUGGCGUUGGGCUUCGCUGACCGGAUUUCUGUGGCUGAGAACCAUAGUAUGGAGAUUUGAGAGUCCUCAGGUGCAAGGCUCGCUCACUGCUUCCUGCUGUACCUCUUGCUGGGGUCAGCAAGGUCUGAGGAGGAGGGGGAUGUGACGGUCCCAAAAAUUCCCAGACCCAUUACAUAUCAGUUGGGGAGGUUUUGGUUACACCCUCAGGAAACCCUGUCUUUACCGUCACAGAAGCUUUGCUUUAUUUCAAAUAUAAAAAGAGGGUAUGUAAUAUUGGACUGUUAACCUCCCAGCUUUUUGCGUCAACCAGUUGCCUCACCAUGGAAUAUUCCGUCAGCGUGGCUCAGCGCUGGGUCAGGCCAACGUUCUCGGAAAGUGUAACGCGCAUGGCUGGAAUUUGCUGAUACAGCUCAGCAAGUCGCUCGAUGAAAUCAGUUAAUGCGCAACUAUAGUUUGCCUAAUGCCCUGAUGAAUCGUUAGGCAGCAGCACCGUCCAGGGCUUGCACUGACGUCACGCGGCAUAGCCGCAACGUGAUUGGCUGGUUCCCCUCCACGCCCAACUCUGGGCUAUGGGAAGCGCGCACUCAGUUGAGUUAGUCUAAAUUCUAAAUCCAAUUCAAUCGGUCAUGUAAAUUCCGCGUCGCGUCGCCUUUCCCCAUAGCCUCCUCGGGAGGCUAUGUCCCCCAAUAACUUAUUUGUGUUGUAAACUAAAUUUAUAGGAUUAUACAGCAAGUCGGAAGCUAAACACUUCACUAUUGUUUUUAUCAUAAAUGAAGUAAAUAAAUUAUUAUUCGUAGUGCA